rnacentral:rRNA from 1 species
CGAAGGGACCUAGCGUAGUUCGGAAUUACUGGGCUUAAAGAGUUCGUAGGUGGUUGAAAAAGUUAGUGGUGAAAUCCCAGAGCUUAACUCUGGAACUGCCAUUAAAACUUUUCAGCUAGAGUAUGAUAGAGGAAAGCAGAAUUUCUAGUGUAGAGGUGAAAUUCGUAGAUAUUAGAAAGAAUACCAAUUGCGAAGGCAGCUUUCUGGAUCAUUACUGACACUGAGGAACGAAAGCAUGGGUAGCGAAGAGGAUUAGAUACCCUCGUAGUCCAUGCCGUAAACGAUGUGUGUUAGACGUUGGAAAUUUAUUUUCAGUGUCGCAGCGAAAGCGAUAAACACACCGCCUGGGGAGUACGACCGCAAGGUUAAAACUCAAAUGAAUUGACGGGGACCCGCACAAGUAGUGGAGCAUGUGGUUUAAUUCGAAGAUACGCGCAGAACCUUACCAACACUUGACAUGUUCGUCGCGACUCUAAGAGAUUAGAGUUUUCGGUUCGGCCGGACGAAACACAGGUGCUGCAUGGCUGUCGUCAGCUCGUGUCGUGAGAUGUUGGGUUAAGUCCCGCAACGAGCGCAACCCUCACUUUUAGUUGCCAUCAUUUAGUUGGGCACUCUGAAAGAACUGCCAGUGAUAAGCUGGAGGAAGGUGGGGAUGACGUCAAGUCCUCAUGGCCCUUACGUGUUGGGCUACACACGUGCUACAAUGGUAUCUACAACAGGAAGCAAGACUGCGAGGUCAAGCAAAUCCUUAAAAGAUACCUCAGUUCGGAUUGCACUCUGCAACUCGAGUGCAUGAAGCUGGAAUUACUAGUAAUCGUGGAUCAGCGUGCCACGGUGAAUGCGUUCCCGGGUCUUGUACACACCGCCCGUCACACCAUGGGAGUUGGUUCUACCUUAAGGCAAGGUUUAAAACCCUUGACCACGGUAUAGUCAGCGACUGGGGUGAAGUCGUAACAAGGUAGCCGUAGGGGAACCUGCGGCUG